UACAGCCAUACCACAUUAAAACAUCGGUUCUCAUACGAUCGUUGUAGUUAAGCAACGUCGAGCCUGGUCAGUACUUAGAUGGGUGACCGCUUGGGAAUACAAGAUGC